rnacentral:sRNA from 1 species
GCCAGGUGCAGUGGUGUACGCCUUUAAUCCCAGCAGCUGAGGAGGCUGAGGCUGGAGGAUCGGGAGUUCAAAACCGGCCUCAGCAAGAAGUGAGGUGCUGAUAAGCAACUCAGUGAGACCCUGUCUCUA